rnacentral:rRNA from 1 species
UACGUAGGGGCCGAGCGUUGUCCGGAAUUACUGGGCGUAAAGCGUGCGCAGGCGGUGAUGUAAGACAGGUGUGAAAUCCCCGGGCUUAACCUGGGAACUGCAUUUGUGACUGCAUCGCUGGAGUGCGGCAGAGGGGGAUGGAAUUCCGCGUGUAGCAGUGAAAUGCGUAGAUAUGCGGAGGAACACCGAUGGCGAAGGCAAUCCCCUGGGCCUGCACUGACGCUCAUGCACGAAAGCGUGGGGAGCAAACAGG